AUUGAACGCUGGCGGCAUGCCUUACACAUGCAAGUCGAACGGUAACGGGCCUUCGGGCGCCGACGAGUGGCGAACGGGUGAGUAAUGCAUCGGAACGUACCUUUCAGUGGGGGAUAACGUAGCGAAAGUUACGCUAAUACCGCAUAUUCUGUGAGCAGGAAAGCAGGGGAUCGCAAGACCUUGCGCUGAUUGAGCGGCCGAUGUCAGAUUAGCUAGUUGGUGAGGUAAAGGCUCACCAAGGCGACGAUCUGUAGCGGGGCUGAGAGGAUGAUCCGCCACACUGGAACUGAGACACGGUCCAGACUCCUACGGGAGGCAGCAGUGGGGAAUGUUGGACAAUGGGGGCAACCCUGAUCCAGCCAUGCCGCGUGAGUGAAGAAGGCCUUCGGGUUGUAAAGCUCUUUCGGCCGGGAAGAAAUCGUAUGGGCUAAUACCCUGUGCGGAUGACGGUACCGGCAUAAGAAGCACCGGCUAACUACGUGCCAGCCGCCGCAGUAACAC
rnacentral:rRNA from 1 species